AUGGACGGCGGUGACCACGGGCACCGGUGCAGGUGUCCCCAUGGACCGCGGUGCACUUGCGGACCGCGCCAUGGAGGCCUCGCGGCGGCGGCCCUGGACCCCCGUGUGCGGGCCUUCCCCAUGGACGCCGCGACGCAGGCCAUGUAUCGGGAGCACGGCAUGGACCCGGUCACCCUCGAGUCCGACGUCACCACCGCCAUGACCUUCCUCCACUAUGUCCUCCCCAAGCCUUCCCUCUCCAACCGCGCCGCCCUCUCCGCCGCCUUUCUCCCGCCCCAGGACGACGGCGGCGUCGACCGCAUCAGCGGCAUCCCCGAGGAGCUCCUCCGCAACAUCGUCUCCCGCCUCCCCGCCAAGGACGGCGCGCGCACCGCCGCGCUGUCCUGCCGCUGGCGCCGGGUCUGGCUCUCCACCCCGCUCGUCCUCGUCGACGCCGACCUCCUCCCCGCCGGAUGCGGCUCCAGCCUGCGGGUCGAGCGCGCCCACGCGCAGCGCGUCGAGUCCGCCAUCACCCGCAUCCUCGAGGCGCACCCGGGGCCCUUCCGCUUCGUCCACCUCAUCUCAUGCCACAUGCAGGAGACCCCCGGCCUGCUCGCGCGCUGGCUCCAGCUCCUCGCCGUCAAGGGCAUCCGGGAGCUCAUGCUCGUCAACCGCCCGUGGCCGCUCGACAUGGCCCUCCCCGCCACCUUCUUCGGCAUGGCGACCCUCACCCGCCUGUACCUUGGCACCCUUGCCUUCCCUAACACGGCCGACCUCCCGCGCGGAGUGUCAUUCCCACACCUCCGCGAGCUGGGCCUCUUGGGCAUGGCCAUUAUGAACCGGGACAUGGACUUCGUCCUCGCCAGGAGCCCUGUGCUGGAGAUCCUCUGCAUCCAAGCCAACGUUCUGCUCAAGUGGCUCAGCCUCGUCAGCCGCAGCCUCCGGUGCGUGCAGAUCAUAGAAGGCAUCGAUCUGAAUAUCGUCGUCAAGAACGCCCCUAGCCUUGAGAGGGUCAUCAUCUGGACAUCAUCGGCCCGCGAUGGCCUGCACAGGAUGGUCAAGAUCGGCCAUGCCCCUGCGCUGAGCUUACUUGGCUACUUGGAGCCGGCACGACACCUGCUAGAGAUCGGCAACACCAUCAUCAAGGCUGGGACGAAGGCAAGCCCAAACACCACGGUCCCGAGCGUUAAGAUCCUCAGCUUAAGAGUGUGCUUUGGUGUCCGCAACGAUGCUAAGAUGCUGCCGAGCUUCCUCAGAUGCUUUCCCAACGUCGAGAGGCUACAUCUCGAGUCCAAUGAGACUGAUGAGCCCACAGGCAAGCUCACACCUUAA
rnacentral:rRNA from 1 species